UCGGACGUGGUGCACGGUGCACACCCGCUUACUGUGUGGUAUAUGUGGACGAACAAAGUUAGCAGGAAAGCUGGGUUCGACUCCCAGCGUCCGAU